GUGUCAGCCGCCGCGGUAAUACGUAGGUCCCGAACGUUGCGCGAAUUUACUGGGCGUAAAGGGUCCGUAGGCGGUCUGGUAAGUGGAAGGUGAAAUCCUGGGGCUCAACUCCAGAAUUGCCUUCCCAGCUGCCGGACUUGAGGCAGGGAGAGGUCGGCGGAAUUCCCGGUGUAGCGGUGAAAUGCGUAGAUAUCGGGAAGAACACCAGUGGCGAAGGCGGCCGACUGGAACUGACCUGACGCUGAGGGGCGAAAGCCAGGGGAGCGAACCGGAUUAGAUACCCGGGUAGUCCUGGCCGUAAACGAUGGAUGCUAGAUGUGGGCGGGGUGACCCGUCCGUGUCGCAAGCUAACGCGUUAAGCAUCCCGCCUGGGGAGUACGGCCGCAAGGUUGAAACUCAAAUGAAUUGACGGGG
rnacentral:rRNA from 1 species